UUCCCGGGUUGAGUAUGUGUGGAUAGUAAGCGUACAGGUAGAGACAAACUGGGGGAAUUGCAGUAGUGUUUUACCAAAGCGUCUCCAGAAAUAAUGCUACUGGGAAGUCAAGGAAACGGUCAACAGAAAGCAGCGACAUCUGAAGUGCCUCUCCAGACCAAAACGAUGAAGUCGUGAUGAAGUCGUGAUGAUGUCGUGAUGAUGUCGUGAUGAUGUCGUGAUGAUGUCGUGAUGAUGUCGUGAUGAAGUCGUGAUGAUGUCGUGAUGAAGUCGUGAUGAAGUCGUGAUGAUGUCGUGAUGAUGUCGUGAUGAUGUCGUGAUGAAGUCGUGAUGAUGUGAUGUCGUGAUGAAGUCGUGAUGAAGUCGUGAUGAUGUCGUGAUGAAGUCGUGAUGAUGUCGUGAUGAAGUCGUGAUGAUGUCGUGAUGAAGUCGUGAUGAAGUCGUGAUGAUGUCGUGAUGAAGUCGUGAUGAUGUCGUGAUGAAUUCGUGAUGAUGUCGUGAUGAUGUCGUGAUGAAGUCGUGAUGAUGUCGUGAUGAUGUCGUGAUGAUGUCGUGAUGAUGUCGUGAUGAUGUCGUGAUGAUGUCGUGAUGAUGUCGUGAUGAAGUCGUGAUGAUGUCGUGAUGAUGUCGUGAUGAAGUCGUGAUGAUGUCGUGAUGAUUUUGUGAUGAAGUCGUGAUGAUGUCGUGAUGAUGUCAUGGUUAUUUGUUUCUUCUUCCUUUGAACGGUUCUUCAACGUAAUAACAUACUGUAAAACAAGACAAAUAGGUAUCCAGGUUCAAACGCCUGCAUAAUAGCGCUCCCAGUGUGUCAAACCUCCAGGUCAAAGUCUGCAUAAUAGCGCUCCCAGUGUGUCAAAACUCAAAAAAUAGUGCAAAAUGAAAAACAAAUACAAAAUAGAUUCUGCCUGAUUAUUUCUAGUAUCCUGACAAAUAAAAAUGACAACAACAAAAAGUCAAGCAUAUUAUUUGCAAUUCAUUAAGAUGUCAAUAACAAUUAUAAAAACAAAAUAAAAAAAUCUUUAAGAAUAUAUUUACUAGGUUUAUUUUUAAUUUGUAAAACUUGUAAAUUAGAAGACCACACGGUAUGUCACAAUGUCCUUGUCAUUUAUCAAUUGAGCGUUUUCUUGUUUUCUUUACCCUCCGUCUGAUUGUGUAUCACAGAGAACACCGCCUCAUAAUCUGCUCCUGGCAUCAUCGUCAAAAACAAGCAACUGAUUCAUUUAAUCAUGCUUGAACGUUUGGUUGGUUACAAAAAUGACUGUACGUUUGUUUGUAAUAGAGGAGUGGAACCAAGCUGCGGCAGCCUUAGUCGCAUCGACGCCAAUGUCUUUAGCUUUGAUCUCAUUGCACUGCCCGUAGAGUAGAAGGUUCAGACCGAUGCAGAAGGAAGGGAACAACAGCCUGCUACUAUACUGUACUGGACUCUCAGCUCAGGACGGGUCCCUCCGUCAGCCGACAGAUCAGUCAAGUAAUGUAACGUUUUGAUCCACCAAGGAGGAAAAACAAACGGAGGACCAUUACAAAAAAGGAAAAGAUACAAAUUCCUCCUUUUCAUUUUCAAAACUUUUUUUUUUUUUUUUUUUUUACCUCAGUAACCUCAGUAGUAUCACGUAUAUAUAGUCUUUCAAAGUCUCUAGUGGUAAUGUACAGUCACGCAGAUCAGAACGAAGAAUUUGACAUUUUUCACUACUUUGAAGGAAUCCAAAUUCAUGGUUGAUGGAAAGUUGUCUGCAUGGUAUCCCGAACGAUCAGGUAAUUUUCUGUUGUGUGUAGUAGUGUGGUAUCCCGAACGAUCAGGUAAUUUUCUGUUGUGUGUAGUAGUGUGGUAUCCCGAACGAUCAGGUAAUUUUCUGUUGUGUGUAGUAGUGUGGUAUCCCGAACGAUCAGGUAAUUUUCUGUUGUGUGUAGUAGUGUGGUAUCCCGAACGAUCAGGUAAUUUUCUGUUGUGUGUAGUAGUGUGGUAUCCCGAACGAUCAGGUAAUUUUCUGUUGUGUGUAGUAGUGUGGUAUCCCGAACGAUCAGGUAAUUUUCUGUUGU